CAGCAGCCGCCGCGGGAAAACGAAGGGGGCUAGCGUUGUUCGGAAUUACUGGGCGUAAAGGGCGCGUAGGCGGCCAUUCAAGUUAGAUGUGAAAGCCCUGGGCUCAACCUAGGAAUUGCAUUUGAUACUGUUUGGCUUGAGUUCGGGAGAGGUGAGUGGAAUUCCCAGUGUAGAGGUGAAAUUCGUAGAUAUUGGGAAGAACACCGGUGGCGAAGGCGGCGACCUGGUCCUUUACUGACGCUGAGGCGCGAAAGCGUGGGGAGCAAACAGGAUUAGAUACCCGCGUAGUCCCUGUCUCUUAUAC
rnacentral:rRNA from 1 species